AGAUUGUUUCAAAGAAAUGCUCAUACUAAAACCACUUAUCUGUUCUAUGACUUCAUAAAGACGAUAAAAAGAAGUUAAAAAUCUCGGCAUCCGCUUACAGUGCAAGUGCUCGACAUUUCACUGCUCAACAUUUGAGGCUUCUACUUCGUAUGUUUUAUGUGUGGUGCUCUUCUUUAUCAGUUCCAUACCUCCCUUGACCGAUGGAUCUCUCCCUGCCCUGGUAGUCUUCAGUCUUAAUUGCCAAUUGGUCAAUGUAAUGGUCGUCACUGUCAAUGGAUCAAUGCUUGUUGCCAGUGAUUCCAUUACAGACAGAUAGAUUCACAGAUUGAAUUUGGUAUAUCUGCUUCACAAUUUCAUUCUUCUUUGCUAAGUCACUUUUGGAUCUUUCCCUGUACUGCAAUUUGCACCCCUAGGACACACUCUUUUCGAUCUGUCUUUGCGCCUUAAUCACCUUCAAAGCUGAUUUGAGGUUUUGAUUUCUGAUGAUCUGUAUUUCUUCUGCUAAGUUCAACAUUCUUCUUUUAGCAUAAUCACAGUAGAGCCGAUUAUUCCAAUUCAUCCAAGUUUCUCGUUGGCUCUUGAUGGAGAUAUGCUCAUGUUCAUUCAUUGAACUUUCUUUGUUUGAAGAUUUUUCUUAUCCAAUAUUUCAUUUUCCUGAAAUAAUUGAUUAGACUUCUCUUUGGGAGAGAAACAAGCUGGUGGAAGGCCCACAUACAUGUGAGGGCCUUGAACAGUUGAUUCCAUCAGACUUCAGUGGAAGGAGUCCAAUUCAGCAACUCUGUGCAGUGUGCAAGGCUGGAGUGUUCAUGAUUCAGAGGAUGAGCGGCCAAUACCUUCUUUCUUUGUUACGGAAGGGGACAAGGCAACAUCUUCAAAACAAAACAUGAGAUCCUUUGACAGAAUCAUUUGAUCUUUGUAGCAAUAGCGAUGUGCAUGACAGUUCAACUAAAGGAAAUUCUGAAAAUUCUGUAGAAGAGUUUGAUUCUCAAACCAAAACUUGGUUCAGGAUUCAUGGAGGGGUUAAAGUCAAUUGAAGCAUCAGUUUCUGUCCAGAGAGUCUCUGUUGGCAGGGUUUCAAAAAAUGGUACUUCAGACUCUUGCGGGUUUUCAUCUCCACUGUUGGAUAGUAAUUUGUCCUUCCCCAACUGAGAAAUACAGAUCCAUUGAGAUAAAUUGUGAAGCAAUUGUUGUGACAUCGAACUGUGUAAGCAAACUUGAUCGGAUAUAAUCAGCAUAAAUGUGCCAGUCCCCAAUAACAUUCCUGUAGAUCAUCCAAGUCUCCAAAUUGGGCAGGGGAUGAAGGUCUAUCCCGUCACAAGAUUUGAUGAAACAGCUGAUUCUGCCAUUGAGAUUUGUUUGCCUGAGGACAGUUUAAUAUGGUUCACGAUCCCAUAGUUCCUCAAUGUUCCAGGUUUAUGGCAGCUGAGAAUUCAGUUAAAGAUGAUUUGUUAACAUCAAAUACAACAGUUAAUGUUGCUGACAGAACAUUGCAUUCUGAUGAAAGAUAUACAAUAUACCCACUUUGGAAGGUCCACCAUUUCUGCAUGGUUCUUAUGAUGUCAUGGGUUUGGAGAAUCCUUAUCACAACCUGCACGCACAGGGAUCUCACCCUCUAUUUUUGUCUCGUUCAUUUGAAUCCUGGAGGCCCGAAUUCCAUCCAAUAGGCUCGCAUCAAGAUUGUAUGAGUUCUCAAAUGAAGUCCAUGGAUCUGAAGUAUGGCAAUGACCAUGGUUUUCUGGAAAAUCUGCAUUUGCAUCCUUCCCUACAUGCUCAUGCUGAAGGGAACAGGGUUUGACCAUCCUGUUCACUAAUUGCUGUUACUGACUGAUGCAUAUGCCUCACCAAUUAAAUGAACUGUCAAGAGGUUCACCCUGUUUUCAACCUAUUAAUCAAAUGGCUUUUUCCAUAGAGGAGCUGUACCAAAUGCAAAGCUUUUUGCUGAACUAUCAGCAGCCAGGCUAUUGGGGCAUUGGAUUGCCAAAUCAAGGUAAUGCAUCCAUUGCUGCAUUGAAACUUGGACAAAUCUCCAUAUAGUAACUGCAUCAUUCUCCAGAGUUGGCUGAGGAGGUUUUCUGCUGAUUUUUAAAUUUAUUUUUCUUUUGAUCUUCUAUCACCAUUUUAUUGAGCAAUUCAUAUUUUCUAAUUGUAUGUGCAAUUUCAAAUUGGAUUCAUUUCAUAGGAUGACUGGAGCAUUAUUCAGAGGUUCUAGAUAUGAUAGGAUGAUUGGACUAAUUAUUUAGAGUUUCUAGAUAUGAUAUCUGUAAAUGAUUUUUUCAGCAUCAUUUUUAAUAAUGGCAAUGGUUUUGAUUUU